AGUGGUCUGUUGGGAGUUGUGGCGGCGGCGAGGCCCAAGCACAGCUGGCCAAGGCGGGUGUAAAACGCGGGUCGUGUCCACCCCAAAGCUCGACGCCUCUAGAAGCCAUGGCUUUUCUGCUGAAGCUAGAGCCGGACAUGCAGGGGAAAGUAGAUUUGUUUCGAGCCCGUAUCGCCCAGGAGGCCGAGGAUCUCGUGUCCACCUUCUUUCCUCAGAAGGUCUUGGAGCUGAAUAGCCGAGUUCAGGAGCUCCGGCUGCAAGACCUGUCCAGAAUCCAUUCGGUGCCAACCUCGGAGCCCCUGGCCACCCCAGGCAACAAGGGAGAUGGGCCCAACCAAAAUCUGCCAGUUCUGCUGACUCAGUUCUCCAUCAAGGUCCCAGCACUGCUUGGCAGCGAGGGACAGCUUCUGCGGAGCAACCAGCAUCUGGUGGAGUUGACUGAGUGGGUGAAACCUGAGAUCAAGCUGCUGAGAGAGAAAUGCAACACAGUGCACAUGUAGGUGCACCCGCUUAUCCUGAAGGUGCAGGACGGCAACAACUUCAGGGUGUCUAUCCAGGAAGACACUGUGGACCAGCUGUGGACCGUGGAUAGCACAGCGGCCUCCUCUCUAUGCGGCUUCUCCACCUACUACAACACCCAGGCCAAGUUGGUAUCCAAGAUAGUGAAGUACCCCCAAGUGGAAGAUUAUCGCUGCACUGUAGCAGAGGUCGACGAAAACGAGUACCUGAGUGUGCGCCAGAUCCUGCUGCACCUACGGAACGAGUAUGCCACCUUGCGUGAUGUAAUCCUUAAAAACAUUGAGAAGAUCAAGAUCCCUCGGAGCACCAACCGUGAUAACCUAUACUGAUAGCCUUUCUCCACCCCAUUUGCCUUCAGGAGUUGGCGGAGCUGUUUAGGCACCUAGAAGGCUGGUUAUUAAUGACUCUACAGGUCAUGAAAUUACUGGAAAUGUGUGUUACCAUUUAGAAUUUCAUACAGCUUAUCCUCAUACUGAAUCAUCUUUUGGUGUAAUUUUUAUUUGAUUUUCCUUUUGUGAGGAGAAUGGGGACAAACCAUCAAAAAGAAAAGACUGCCAUUUUUAAAAGCAGCUUUAUAGAUAAAUGUUGGCCCAAGGUUUCUUUAUUAUGGCCUUAGCGACAUUGAAUGGUUUUAGGGGCUACUUAAAAACUAAAUCUUAAAGUUAAAUGAAGUUUUUCCUAAAGUUCUGCUAUCCGUUGAACUUUGUUCAAACUUACAGAAAUGCUCCUUUUACAGCAUCAUUUUUCUUUUUUUGCGAGGAACGGAGUUUAAAGGGAUAUGUUUAGGUCAUUGUAUGCCUCCAGUUUAACAGAUUGAAAUAAAACUUGGUUAUAAAAUUUUGUGA
ensembl:lncRNA novel transcript